rnacentral:rRNA from 1 species
CGUGCUUAACACAUGCAAGUCGAACGGUGAACACGGAGCUUGCUCUGUGGGAUCAGUGGCGAACGGGUGAGUAACACGUGAGCAACCUACCCCUGACUCUGGGAUAAGCGCUGGAAACGGCGUCUAAUACUGGAUACGAGUGGCGACCGCAUGGUCAGCUACUGGAAAGAUUUAUUGGUUGGGGAUGGGCUCGCGGCCUAUCAGCUUGUUGGUGAGGUAAUGGCUCACCAAGGCGUCGACGGGUAGCCGGCCUGAGAGGGUGACCGGCCACACUGGGACUGAGACACGGCCCAGACUCCUACGGGAGGCAGCAGUGGGGAAUAUUGCACAAUGGGCGCAAGCCUGAUGCAGCAACGCCGCGUGAGGGAUGACGGCCUUCGGGUUGUAAACCUCUUUUAGCAGGGAAGAAGCGAAAGUGACGGUACCUGCAGAAAAAGCGCCGGCUAACUACGUGCCAGCAGCCGCGGUAAUACGUAGGGCGCAAGCGUUAUCCGGAAUUAUUGGGCGUAAAGAGCUCGUAGGCGGUUUGUCGCGUCUGCUGUGAAAUCCGGAGGCUCAACCUCCGGCCUGCAGUGGGUACGGGCAGACUAGAGUGCGGUAGGGGAGAUUGGAAUUCCUGGUGUAGCGGUGGAAUGCGCAGAUAUCAGGAGGAACACCGAUGGCGAAGGCAGAUCUCUGGGCCGUAACUGACGCUGAGGAGCGAAAGGGUGGGGAGCAAACAGGCUUAGAUACCCUGGUAGUCCACCCCGUAAACGUUGGGAACUAGUUGUG